UACUCUAAUUAGACUAUAAUAAUACUAAGCAAGCUUAAUCAAAUUCAAAAAAAGCUCAAAGAAAUUUCAAACAAACAAUAGAAAUUUUUAAAGAAACAUUAGAAAGAACACAAAUGUCAUUCAAAUACAUCUCAAUUCAAUCUUAAUUUAAUUCUAGUUAAAAUCCUAUUGAACUUCAUUCAACCUUUAAGCCAAAAUAAUUGAAUCUUAAAUCCUAAUAAAAUCCUAAACCUUAAAUCAAACCCUAAAAAAAUCCUAAACCAAAUCUUAAUCCAAACCCUAAAUCCUAAAUCAAAUCCUAAUCAAAUCCUAAACCAAAUCCUAAUCCAAAUCCUAAACCCUAAAUCAAACCCUAACCAAAUUUUAAAUCCUAAAUUAAAUCCUAACCAAACCCUAAUCCAAAUCCUAAAUCCUAAACCAAACCCUAACCAAACUCUAAACCAAACCCUAAACCAAAUUCUAAUCCAAAUCCUAAACCAAAUCCUAAACCAAAUCCUAACCAAAUCCUAACCAAAUCCUAAACCAAAUCCUAAUCCAAAUCCUAAUCCAAAUCCUAAACCAAAUCCUAAUCCAAAUCCUAAUUCGAUUUCUAAACCCUAAACCAAACCCUAAUCAAACCGUAUCCAAAUCUUAAAUCCUAAAUUAAAUCCUAAUCCAAAUCCUAAACCAAACCCUAACCAAAUCCUAAAUCUUAAAUCAAACCCUAAUCCAAAUCCUAGACCCCAAACCAAAUCCUAAUCAAACCCUAAAUCAAAUCCUAAUAAUUCCUACAACAGAUUUAAACCCCAAUAACUAAUGAAUAAACCGUUGAUCUUAACUCAAAUUUUGCACACUUCUAAAAAAAUGAGUUAGAAACAAGCAAAAAAAAAAAAAUUGAUAAGGAUCGGAGUUACCAAAUUGACGAUAUCCUCAAAAAUAUGCUCGGGUAUUGGCCGGCCUCCUUCUCCAAUCUUGAUGCUAAUCUUUCAGAGCCAAUAUCUCUCCUUUGCAUCAUUCGAUUGAUCUCAAAAUUCUCAUAUGCAUAGAAAAACAAGUCUAAUAUCCUCUUACAUAAGUUUCACUCCAAUCCAAUGAGUAGAUUGCAAGAAAUCUUAAAAAAUCUCACUAGACCUAAAAUUCUACUUUCUGAGACCUUGACCCACUUGAACCUCAAUAUCCUUUAAUUCAACUAUUAGAUUGAGCUCAAAUUCACAAAACAUAUUGAACACAACUAUAAACAUAAAUACACAGAAUUUCACCUAUAGAUCUAUAACAAAACUCUUGAAAUCACCCAAAAUGUAAACCCUAUUUUAUUUCAUAAAAUCUAAGUCAUCCGAAACAAACCUUGACUUUGCAAAGCUAUUUCAAAGUCAAUACAGAUCCAAAUCACCCAAAACCAACACCCAUAGAAAUCUUAUUCAAUCUUCUAUCAAACCCCACUCUCCGAUUUGCCAAAGAAUCCUUGAGUCGCCGUCAGAGUGUGGUUUUGUGCCUCGGGGUCUGAUUUCGAUCCAGGUUCAUAACCGGUCCUCUUCGAGUAUCAACUUUCAUCUUCUUGAGGUAAUUUUUACUAAUUUGUACUCCUAAUUCCUCCCUACAUAUGCCUAUAUUCUUUAUUUUUCUAAUCUACCUUGUUUUGCCUUAUUUAUGGCCUUAUAAACUAAAUAGAAGCAUAAUUUGUAAGUAGGCAGCAUUAGCACCUUUAAUUUUUCUACCCUUUGACUAAUAUCUAUUUUUCCAAGAUAAUUUGCUAUAAUAUUUUUGAAGUGAGAUCCUCAAAAUAUGAUAUUUUCUUCACCCUUUCACUUGUUAUCCAUGUUACAUCAUGACAACGUAUGACUUAAUUUAACUUGACAUAGAAAAACUUAACAGAUCCACAUAUAGUAAGGAUUAAAAAUUUGAGAGCUUUUUUUUGAUUCUAUAGAUGAUAGUGCAUGAUUUUUCUUGGUUGAUUAAGUGAUUUUUCUAAUUAAUUUUAUUAAUAAAUAAAACUUUAGCCUCCUAAUUAGUUAUGCAAAGAAUUUUUUUUCUUUUGCAGCUAACUUCUUAGAAGAACUAUUAGUGUCUAAUCCAUAGAAGUUUGACACAAUAACAGGUCUGUGAUGCCUUUAGAUGAUCUAGGCCGCAUGCAAGCUAUAUUAAUGAUAUCAAUGAAUUUAUAACUUGGUCCAUUAGGUCUAAGUAAAUUUUUGAAAUUUCAUUGUGAUGAAGAUAGAUCAUUGCAAUUAUUGAUCUUCAAUGAAGAAUUCCUAUUUGGUGUGAGUCAUUUGCUCGCAUUGACUAUGUCCUUAUUUUUUGUAUAUAUCGCCCAUUAUUCCUAUUGAUUGAAUAGUCCAAUGAAGUUUUUGGAUUGUAGUAAUGUCGACAAUUUGUCAUCGAUAAUGUUGAAAGAAGUUCAGUAAAUCUUAUCAUUUAGAGGAAGAAGAAAUUGUAAUAAGGUUUUUGUAGGUGAACUUACAAAAGGAUCAUUGCAUGUACAAAACUACAAACAAUCUCCUUUAAAAGUAUCUUAUUUAUAUAAAUCACUUUUGUUGAGUGGUCAAACUUAUUUUGUGUCUGAUUGCAAAAAUGCAUAGCAGCACAUAAGGCAAAUUUAAACACAAUACAUAUUAUAUAAUGAUUAAUACAUUUUUUUUUGACAAAAUUUGUAUCAAAUUCCUAUGAGCGCGUUCUUUUUUUUGAAAGAGAAGUUUCAUGAAUUGAAAUUUUAUGAAUAAUAAAAUAUAAUUCUCAACAACAGAUAUCUUCACUCUUACAAUGAUGAAGAAUGUAGCAAAAUACAAUAUAUAGUGUGAAUUAUAAAAUUUCAUGAAUCAUCAAGUUUUUGAAUGCAAAUUGUGCUUAAGGAUUAUCCAAGGGAAUUCUUGCUAAAGCGUCAUUGUGACACCAAUCAACCUCCUUUAAGAGGAAUUAAAUAAAACUAGUUAUUUGAAUCUAUUUUUUUAAUAAGAAAUUAGAUUGGCUAAAAUAGAAGGAAAAAUUUGAUUGGCUUAAUGACAUAGUCCGCAAUGAAGUAAUCCAAGCUUGCCAUGAAAUUAUUUUGAAUGUGAGAAUUUGUAUCUCCUAGAUUUAGAUCUCAAAGUAGGUCCUUUCUUUCUUUUGUUUGAAAAAACUUAAAGGAGAAGAACAAUGUCUCAUAGCAGAUCUCUAAUUAGAAAAGACUAUUUGCUGAGUUUAAGCAUAUUAAUAAGUAGAGGAGAAGAAACUAACUAAUAUUCUUCUAGUAAUGGUAAGUGAAUCAAAAAGAGCUCAGCUUGAAAAUUGAGGUACUUCACACUUUGAAUUAUAGUCUGAAGAAGCAUCCUCUGUAGUGUGCCAGCCCCAAGUUUUUUGGAAUGGAAUGCUGAAGACAGUGACAUCCUCAUCAAGGGUAAUUUUUUGUUGCUCCAUGAGGCAUAAUCUAUAAUUUAAGUUAUUUAAGAAUACAAUCCUAAGUGGGAGGUAAAUUUUUUCUAAAGCUAAAUAUUAGUAUGAGACCAAUGAUAAAUAAGUACCACAAUAAAAUAAUGAAAAGAACUUUGAAAAAAAAAUUAAAUAAUGCUUGAAGUUAUUGAGAGGGAAGCAAAUGGAAGCUAUAGAUGUACCCCAGUUGGAUGUGGAAUGAAUUUGGCUAGUUUACCACUCAAUCAUAUUAAAUAUUAUUAAGCUAUCAUAACUACUAAUUGCUAUAUCUAAAAGAAUAAUUUCAUAUAUAACAUCUCCAAAGACAACAAACAAUGAUCUAUUAUUUCUACAUGCAAAUAUUUGGUUUUUUUAACUAUAGAUAUUUCUUGUUUUUAGGAAAAUUGUUCUACUAUAAAACAUGUUAAGGCUCAUAAGUCUAACAAGGCUAAGACUUGAUGAUUUUUUGAUUCUAAACAAAAUUUUCUUAUCAAAUAAGGUGAAGGAUUUGAUAAAAGAAUAGGACCAUUUUUAGAUGUUAUAUAAUUUUCUAGCCACACAAUAUCUAUAAUAGUUAGAAAAACUUGUUUUUUGAUACAUUGUCUUCUUUGGCAACCAUAUUCUUUAUUUUAUAAUUGUAUUCCUUCUUUAGAUAAUAUUAAGCAAUGUGCUUGGAUUUCCUACAAUGUAAGCAUAAACCUUCUUUACAGUGAUGAGUCUUUUUCUUUUCAAUAAGAAGUUUAAAACAUAUCAUAUGAAUUUGCAUAAGCUCUAGCUUAGAGGUGUAAGCUUUUAAAAACUUAAAAAGUAUUGCUAUAGCUUGAUUUUUAUCUUUGUAAUCAAAUCUUUAUUCUUACCAUCUUUCAAAGAAUUGAUUGUCACAUGUAAUAACUUGAAUAAUAAAUUGCUCUAAUGAAUCUACUUUUAGCUUUAUCAAUAAUAAAUCUUUCAUAUUAUCUUUCAAUCUAUAUCAAAAUUGGUUGAUAAGAACUUUAUCAUUCCAAUCCACAUUGCAAGCAAGAUUUUGGAAUUCAAUAGCAUAUGUAAUAGUUGAAUGUGAUCUUUCUCAUAGAGAUAUAAGUUUAUGCUAUUUUUUUUCAAUCAUUUUUUAAAAUAUAAUUGUAAACAUUUAAAAGAAUGAAUUAAAAUCAUAGAAUAGUCAUGAAUAUUUUUUCCAUCAAAAGUGUCAACUAAAAAAGAACACUCUUAGAAAAAAUUACUCCUAUGAAUCCAAUUUGAAUAAAUCUAUUAGGGUAUUGAAAAGGAUACAACCUCAAAUAAAGCUUUACUUUUUGUAAAAAUCCUAAAAACUUUGAUCUUAUUCUAUCAAACUUCUCUGACAUACUUCUCAUUGUCUCUCUUAUACUUGUAGUAGCGAGACUCUUAGAUUCCUUUAUAAACUUAUUCUACUUGCUUCUUUUAAUUAUAUCACUUUUUAGCAUAGACUUUGAACUUUAUUAUUGACUUCUUCUAUGAGCAUAAGAAUAGUACUUCCAUCAUUCAUAUUGAAAAUACAUGAGAUUUAUAUCUUUAAAUUAUUGAUAAGCUCGUGAAGAUUUGUAAUAGUUCCAAAUCUAUUCUCACUUGUGCUAAGAUUAGCAUCCAUAAUUCUUUUUUUUUUAUAGAUAAUUCAAAUAAAUUCAAAAAAUUAUAUUACAAGAGGAUAAUUUGUAACCUUUAAUAUCAAAUAAAAAUUUGUACAAAGAGAAAUAAUCUACUUUAUUUAAGGAAGAAAUUAGUGCUAGAAAAAAAAUUAUUUAAAUAUAAAUAGUCUACAACCUUCAAAAUACAACAAUAGAAGUGAAAUAAUCUACUCAUUUCUAAAAUAAGAUAAAAAUAAUAAGUUAGUACCUUUGUCAAAUUAUCAAGGACAUGAAACUUGAAGAAUUGAAAGAUCAAGAUACUUUUGUAUCACUCAAAAUCUUUCAAAGAUGAUAUAACAUUAAACUAUAAUAGCUAUUGCUAAGAACAAAAAGAUUAUGAAAACUUAAAAUAAGAUUAAAGAUUAGAAAUGAAAUGAGACCAGUCUAUCUUAAGAGUCUUAGACUCUUCUAAUCCAUAAUAAUAUAAAAGCUCAUCAUAAAGUAAGCCAAAAUAGACCAAAAAAAAAUUAAAUAGAAUUAAACAAAAGACAAAAUUGUGUAAAUAAAAAUAGAACAAAAUAGAAUUAAAUAGGAAGAUGUAAAAUCAUAUUUUAUUAAGAGAAAAGGUCCAAAGCCAUAAAUGACCAGAUGUCUCAAAAGGUCCUUGCUAAUCCUAUUUAUACUUUGUUCUAUCACCCUCGAUUUUCUAGAAUGUUCUUAAAUGAUAGACCCCACUAGAUAACCACCUUAAAUUCCUUCUAGAAGGUUCUAUGGUAAUCCCUACCUAGAUAACUACCUUAAAUUCCUUCUAGAAGAUUCUAUGGUAAUCCCUACCUAGAUAACCAUCCUAAACUCUUUCUAAAAUGUUCCACGAUGAGUCCUUUUUGGUCUACUAAUCUAACGUCAAUUCUAAAAACUUCUAUAACUUCUCAAAUAUGGUUCUAAAUAUCUAUCCCUAUGUGUCAAUAAUAUAUAUAACUUAUCUACAUUGUGUUAUAGUUAAUCCUCCUCUACUAAUGUGAAACGUCUUUGUUUUGCUCUCAAUGGUAUUUCCAAAUUGUCUCUUGGCAAUGGAUGAGGUUUUGUGUAGGUUCCUACAUUGCAUCCUGGAUGAGAUAACCUUUCCAAAGAACUUUGUACUAAAGUUGUAGACGUCUAUUGCCACGACAAAGGUAGCAAUGCUCCAAAAUAUUAUCCACUUUAUAUUUUUAUUUAUCAUCAACUACAAUUUGUAGUGAUGGUGGUUGGUGUUGAUCUAGAAAGCAUUUUGGCUUGGUGUGCAAUUCCUUCAAUUGCAAAAUAUAGAAGAUUAGAUGGAUUCAAAUAUGCGAUAGAAGCUCAAGGCAGUAUACAACAUGAAAAAUCAUUAGAGAAAUGCAAAAAAGUCUAAGCCAUCAAGGUAUUAGUUUAUGGUUUUGAGUUGAUGUAAGAAGUGACAAGUUUACAUUCGAAAGUAAUACCUAAUCAUCCUCUCAAAAGAUCUUGUAUUACUAGUAAUUAUCCGCAUACUACUUUUAUCAAUCAUAGGUAGUAAAAAGGUAAUAUUGCAUCUCUUAUAAGGCUCUUAUAAACCAUUGUAUAAAUUCCUCCAUUAUCAAUUUAUUGGUGUCAAUGAAAUGAUAAAAAGUUGCUAGCAUAAUCAGAUGUUGAUUGAUAUUAAGAAAAAAUAAUGAAUGAUUGAUAUUUCCUUAAAUAUUAUCAUUAUAAAUAAACUCCAAGGUAUCAAGUAUUCAUCUGAAUCAUUAUGAUGAACAACUACAAAUGUCUAUAGCAUAUCUUUCAAGGUCCAAUUUUUAUGAUUUUUUUGUCCAUUUUCUUGGAGUAAGAAGGCUAUAGACAUGGCAAGUCACGUACCAAGUAGCUUAAAUAAGGCUUGCCAAAAACUUCUCAUCAAGUAUAGAUCUCAAUUUCAAACAAUGACAUGAGUUAAUCCAUAGUGACAAAAUAUAGUAUCAAAAAAGACUUGUGCAAGUGCUGGAGUAUCAAUAUCUAAGUGCAUUGUAGCAAAGUAAAGUUGCUUUGAGAGUCAAUCCACAAAGACAGCAACCGUUGUCGUAUUACGUGCUUUCCUGCUCGAGAACGCGCCGGGCGUCUGGCUGUAGAAGGUAGUAUGGAGAUUCGCCGAUAGUCAAGCAGUCUAUCAGUUUUUGACUACUGGAAUAUAAACGACUGCAACAAUGUACCGUAAAUCUAUACGGGUGCUCUUCGACUGCUUGUCGAAGUCCUUUUUGCCCCAGCCUGUAGGUCUCUAGACGUUACAGAGAACCCCGUACAACCCAAACUGUUAACCUUCAAUACUGCUUUGUACUUACGAUCUUGUAUCCACUGACUGACUUGUUAGAUUAACCCAAUAAAUUUCAUUCACUCCGCAUACUCAAUCCUAUAGACACCCUUUUAAUCCUUCAAUCAUAGACGUAACUCGAUUUCACAAAACAGUCAAGAGUAUUCAAACCCACUUCAUUUAAAAAUCUCGAUUCACCAUUACAACACUAACUUCAGCAGCGAUUGCCUCAGUCUUCCCAAAACUCUACGAAGAAGAAAAAUCCAAAUUCUAUGUCUUUCCUUCCCCGACCCGAAGCAUGAAGCUCCUCUCUCUAAUUCCCUUGAUCUUCAAAAAAAACCUCCAAUGAAAACCAAACUGGUAACCUUGCAGAAGCUUGAAAACUAGCUCCCCCCUCGAUUUCCCUCAAAAAAAACCCCUCUCAAAACUAUAUCCCCCCUAACCUUAUCCUCUGAAUUUCUUCAAUCUUCCGUCUUAGAUCCGGAAUUGGCUCCCACCUCAAGCUUGGAUCCGAAAUUGGCUCUCACCUCAACUUGGAUUCGAAAUUGGCUCUCGUCGCCAAGCUUUCUCCUCCGUUUUUACCUUUAAGAAAUCCAUUUACCGAAAACAACGUUCCCUGAGACGGCACAGAGAACAGGACAGCCUGAAACAGAAUCGAACCCCGUAAUCGGGACCACAUUGAGUCGCCCGACCAAUUCAGGUCCUAUAUUGGUAAAGAUGCCCGUAGUAACCUGGAUGUUCCCGUAAUUGGGUCAAAUUGGUCUUCGCGUCAGAUUGGCUAAGACCCGUAGUAAGACCUGGAUUUCCUGUAACUAGACUGCAUUGGGUUGCCCCACCAAUACAGGUCUCAUAUUGGGUAAGAGGACCCGGAUUGGAUUAUCGAAAUUGGAUUCAAUUGGCUCCUCGAAUCCGUCGUGUGAAUUGGUCCUUCUCUUCCUGCUGACUCCCGUUAUUGGAAUCGAACGGGGCAUUUCAGUAUGCCCCAGCUGACUGUAACGGAGUCACUGAACCUGACCACUCAGUAUUUGUACUGGAGUUGGUCGAUGUUCCCAAUAUUCGAGGUAACUGAAUAUUAAUAAAAUUCCCCUUUCUUUUUAUUUUCACUGUAUACUCGUGUCACAACACGACAUCCACCCCCUCUGAACCUGUGCAUCCUCCGGUAUGCACCAAUUUACCUAAUUGCUGUUUGAUUCAGAAUAUAUCCCCUACGUCUUUGUCCAGUUCGUCGUCGUCACCUUCAUUAUCCAAAUCACUUUCAUCUUCUUGCUGCGGAAUCUCUGUACCUUCAUUAAGGUCUUCCAUAUUCAUCUCCGCGUGUCUUCGUUUAAAUAUUUUUACUCGCUUCUCUGCAAUUGGUAUUUUCAAUUUUGUACCAUCUAACUCCCGUAAUGAGUAAGUCGCAUUAUCAUGAACAGUUGUUACAACAUAUGGUCCAAACCAACGUUUUGAAAAUUUCCGCAAAGUACUAUGUUGAUUAUCCAGACUAUUGUCAUAAACAAGUACCCAGUCACCUUCCUCGAUUGCUUUUGGUCUCAAUCGAUGUUGCUUAUCGAAUCGUGCCUUGUUUUGUAACCUUGCUCUUUUUAACCUUUCCAAUGCUAUCUGGACAUCUUCCGUUCUUUGCUCCAAUUGUCGAAUCCUAAUAGCCAGAAGUUCUUCUCUUGUCAAUCCAUCUUCCCAUGGUAGCAUACUCCAAGUAAGUACCUUUUCUUCAAUCGGCAUAAUUGGUUUUUGACCUGUCAUAAGUUCUACUGGCAUAUAUCCUGUCACCAAACUAUGUGUUGUUCGAUCAGCCCAUAAUGCAAAUGACAAAAGCCGUGGCCACUCUUUAACCUUCCCAUUACAAGCUUUAACCAAUACUUUCACAAUCGGCGGGUGACCGCGUUCGCUUUUCGCAUUCCCUUCCGGAUUAUAAGCAGUAGUCAGUGAUAGUUUAACUCCACAUCUUUCAAAGAACUUACGAGCUUCUUGUGCAUUUAAUUCUCCACGAUCUGCAGUGAUUUUUCCUACGCACCCGUAAUGGCAAAUGACAUCUUCAAGCAAAAACCUACAAAUCCCCUCUGUAGAUUUUGUCCUCAAUGCUCUUCCUUCUACUUGAUUUGAUAAAUCUUCACGAGCUAAAACCAAAUAUCUCAUCUGCCAUAACCCAACCGGCAUAAUAACCAAAUCAACAACCCAUUUAAAAUGAAUAGCCAGAGGAUACGUAGGAUGAAGACCAUCUCGAUGUCGGAUAUUAGAAUACGAUUGACAGAUUUCACAUGACUCUACAAAUGAGAGCACAUCUCAAUACAUAUUUUUCCACCAAUAUCGUUCCUUGAGUUUAGCAAAAGUAGCCCAGAUUCCUCUAUGCCCUGCCCAUAAACUAUCAUGAAACUCCUUUAAUAAUUUUAGUUUUUCUUCUCUUUUGCCUAUCACUCGUUGUGGCAUCCCAAUUCCUUUCUUCGGUCUCUUCCAUAAGAAUCCAUCUCAAAGUAAAAAUCCAUAUGCUUUUUUUCUUAUUUGUUUGAAUUUUUCUGUAGACCAAUUCCCCUGCUUAGACAAGGUAUUCAAAUAAUGACCAAUAUCCAAUAAUUCUCCUUCAUAAGCUUCUUCAAGAAAUAGCUUGUCUUCUCUGUUGAGAUUUGAUAUUGAAUAGAAUUUCAAUCCGACAUCAUCAAUGUCUUCAACCAUUUCGUCCUCCCUCUCGUAUCUUGCUCGAGAUAGCAUGUCUGCUACUAAAUUGUCCUUUCCAGUGAUAUGCUUAAAUUCUGGAUUUAGUGACUUAAUAUAAGCAAUCCAUCUCAACAUUGAAAUAUCUGGCGUUGAACAGUUAAUAAUCAUUCCAAGCAAUGGCAAGCAAUCUGUUUCAAUUACUACUACUGCCCCAAUCAAAUUAUCCUUUUCAGCUUUCAUAGCCGAAACGACUCCCCAAAGUUCUCUUUUGACUUGUGAAUAUGCACGCUGACGAAUACUUAAAACUUUAGCCCCAAAUCGAACUGCAAAUCUACUCCCAUUCGAAUCAUCUUGACCCACUGCCCAUCCAACGGCAAUUGGACUAGCGUCUACAGUAAGAAUCACUGGUCUAUUGCACUUAUAAUCAACCUUCCUCAAUAUUGGAGCUGACAUCAAUAAUUUCUUCAAUCUUUGCAUUGCCUGAAUAUGCCUUUCUUUCCAUUCAAAUCGGUAACCCUUGCGUAACAGUUCAUAUAAUGGAUCCGCUAUGUGAGCAAAAUGAGGGAUCCAGAUUCGAUAAAAUACACAUGCACCCAAAAACCUGCGAACCUCUGUUAAAGAACCACAAUCCUCUUUCAUCCUUCCAAUUGCAUCAACUUUAGUCGGAUCUGGUUUUCUUCCGUAAGAUCCACAUAAAUGUCCAACAAUUACAACCUCUCGCACUCCAAAUACGGACUUCAUACCCGAUAAUGUAAGAUGAACUUCUCCAAGCCGAGUUAAAAUCUUUUCACAAUCUUGUAUAUGAUCAACAACAUAUCUGCGACACCUCCUCGUAUCUAAAGUUUCAUCCUUGUCUCCUUCUAUGCACCCCUUUAUAGGAACAUCAUUCAGAAAAGGCAUAGUCUUUUCCGGGAUAAAAUCUCUCAAUACCUUAUUCAUCCCAUUCAUCAUAUGCGCAACUGAGUUGGUCACGCCUUGAGGAAGAGUGCACAUUCUAACCAAUCCAAGCAGUGUCCUCAUCAUUGUCAUAUCUCUACUUCCUUCGGUAAGUUGAAAUUGAUCAUAACCUGAAUACAAAUCACCCAUUGAAUAGAUCGCCCUUCCAGCAAACGCCUCAGCAAAAUCAUCCACAAUAGGUCCAAUUCUUGCAUUCCUUAGAGUUACAGCAUUCACCGGCUGCAUAUCUUGAAUAAACCGCAGUGACCCAUUCUUCUUAGGUACCGUAAACCAUCGACUAGAAUACGGCGCAAAUGAAGGUUCUAAUAUUUUCAUCUUUAUCUUUUCUUUCAAUAGUUCCACCAAUUUAGGUAAAUGUGCCCUCGGUACUGGAAUCGGUCUUAGAUUCCAAGGUACAUGCGGUACAGUGAAGAUAACCAUAGGUGUUAUAAUAUUCGGAUCCACACACCCAAUUUCAUGAGAUUCGAAAGCAAAUGAUUUACUUUGUUUAACCAACAUCUUUUUGAAGCAAGUAAUUUCCUUUGGCAAUAAAGAACCAUCAGAACCAAUCUUCAAUUCUUCAAAAGUCUCUUUAGUAAACUGAUGUCCAAUACUCAUUGGAUCUCUUAAACUUGCUUCUUUUGAUGCUUCUCCCAUUUGUUCUUUAGAAUCCUCCGGUAAUGGUCCGGCAACAGGCUUUACCUUCUUAUCUGCCGUUUUAUAUCUCGUCUCUACUGUGACUUCUGGUACUUGAAAAGAUUCAAGCAUGGUAUAAACCUCUCUCGAAUGAAUCUCAACAAUCUUAUCAUUAUCCCCUAACCCAAUAGAUGUAAUCAAUUCGAAUGAAUCUUCCAGCCCAUUUUCUUCAUAAACACCCAAAAUCCUCUCAUCAUCUUGCAAUGUACCUAUCUUGCGUAACUGUCCUUCAAUAUCAUAUAAUCUUUUUCUUUCUUUUCUUUUAAAAUCAUCAACUUUCUUAUACAUAAUAUUUCCAUUCUCCAAUAUACCAAUAAAACUCGCAUCAAAGGCACCUUCAUCUCGCGAGAGUACCUCCUCUUUUGUACCUCCAUAAUCUCGCUUUACAGUGGUUCCUCCUCAAAAUCCUUAAAUCCUUCAACAAUCUUUGGCAAUGGUUUCUCCCUCAACCUAUCUCGAUUCCGUUCAUGGUUAGGAGGUACUGUUAGAAAUUGUACAACUUUCCUCCCAUCUUCGCUCCGUACCCUUGCAUAAGCAGAACCAUCGUCAAGUACCUUUGUUUCCAUCCGUGUUGCCGUGAUAUAAGGUUGUCCUAAAAUCAACGGAUAAGACGUUGUAUCUUGAACGAAGAAAUGUUGCUCCGUAGCAACAACCCCAAUCCGAAUUUUGACAUCUGGACAAGCUCCAUAUAAUUUGCCUCGUGUGUUAUUAGCUGCUCGUAUUGCCCAUCCAUGUUCCAUAUCAAUUGGCCAUUUUUGCUUCUUAUAAAGAUCUUUAGACAUGAGAUUUAUUUCAGAACCAUGGUCCACCAAGGCAACUAUUGGUUCUUCUAUAUCUCCUACCUUCACCAAUACCUCGGUAGUUGCCCUUGCCCAAUGCUUUCGAGUAUAAUGGCUCAAAGUUUCCAUUUCCUAGUCACUAGAAUCUUCGAAACGUACUCGCUGAUUAUACCCAUUCUUUUCAUUUGUUGGUUGCUUGUAACCAAUAUCAAGCUCUUCUUCAUCUCUACAUAUUCUUGCAUCAAUAGCAUGACUCAUUCCAGUUUCGCUCAUUAAUUGCCUCUUUCGCUUAAUGCUGUCAAUGAUAACAUCAUGAAACUCCUUCUUUGCAAUUCCCAAGACUUCUUUCAAUGUGAAUUCCACCUUAGCGUUUAAUAUACGUUCUUCCAACACCUCUUUCAAAUUUGUUGCCGCUUCAAUGUCAGAAAGUAGCUUAUAAGCAAUUGAUUUGCUCUUAUCUAUUGUCUCCGUUGUUUUUUCUCCCAAUGAUGCUGAGGUAUCCUUUACAAGCAAUUCUUGUGAAGCUGCCUCCCAAGCCUUGUCUCCUCGAGUUUGCCUCUUAAAAGAAUUUCCUUCUCUAGUAUCAUCAAAAUUUCCUCGUCUUUUUUCUUCCAUCAAAGCUUCAUGUUGGCUCUUAGCAAUAUAUGCAUGAACUGAAAGAGACUCAACAGGAUCCUCUCAACCUGUUCUUCCUUGUAUUGUAGCUGCAGUUCUCAAUAACGCUUCUCGAAUUAAUUUCUCUUCUUGCAUUGUAGAAAUGGCAGAAGCCCAAAACUCACUAGUUUCCGUACUUCCACCAAUUUCAUCAUCUACUCUAGCACCAUAACUUGCACUUUUUCGUGCUACUGUUUCAUGCCCUUUUAAGUAAUCUUGAACCAAUGCUCUCAUUCCUCCCUUGCCAAAAUUGGUUUGAAGAAGAUCCUCCCUAUCUUUCAAUGCUAUCUUCCCAUCUUUCCAGCAAAUAAUUCCCUGCCGUAUCAUAUUAUUAAAUUCAUUGCAAUCUUAUCUAGUGUGUGAAGCAUCAUCACACCAAAUGCAUCUUUGUACAUAUCCUUGUUUUGAAACAUUCUUCGAAUUGUUUAUAGAAGUAUUCUCUUCAAGUCUUGCCAAUUUGAUUUGAAGAUCUCGCAUUCCUCGUAUAAUUUCUUCCAUACCCAUAUCUGCUUUCUUUGACAAGGAUGUCGAAGGUUGAACUGUAGGCAUUGUCGGUGGUGUUGUACGUACUGGAGCUUUGGGUGCUUGUACUGUUUUCGGAAUAUUGCUCCUAUCCUUCCUCCUUUCUUUUUUUGUAAGCAACUCCACCGCAUCUUCAACGUUCUUCCACUUCGUUGUCAAUCCUUCAUCUUCUUCUUUGUCUUCAAGAAGGGGUUCUAAUUUCUCUUGCAAUUCUCCAUUAGCAGCUUGAAGAAACAGAUCAACUUUGUUCGGCUCCAAUGUCAAUUUUUCUACCUUCGAUAAUUGAGAGUACUGCCUCUCAAAUUCCCUUAGUAGCUCUGUUGCUUGCAAAUUCUUAUUGGGCCGUUCAAUCCAUCCCAGAAACAGCUUCUUAGUAACGCGAUCAGCAUCUUCCAAGAAAUAUUCGUCUUUCAAUGCAUGUAAAAAAUCCUCCCAUGAAUUCCCACAACGAUCCGUAAUCGAUGUAAUGUGGUCCCUUAUCUCCGGUAUCGUGGCAAGUCCAAAUAGUGCAACCAUUUUCUUCUCAGAAACCCGAUUUAAUUCCAUUUCACGAACAUAACAUCUUAAAUACCUUGAAAUAUUCCUCCCAUCAAAUUGAUCAAUUUUAUUGACCACUGCUUGCAAUGCUUUGGUUGCCAAAGCUUCCUUCCGAUCAUUGCUUUGCUGUUGCUGCAUUGACAAUGAGAAGGCUUGAAACAAACUAGCAAUAGACGGAUCCAUGUGCAUACCUUGUCCUUUAGAAGACUCCCCACCAGAAACUUCUCCCAAAAAUCCUUCAAAAUUUUUAUUUUCGUUUUCCAUAAAAAUAAAGAUAAAAUCAACCGAAAUCCAAUACCUUCUACCUCAAGCUUUCACGUCGGGUUCACCACUUAUGUCGUAUUACGUGCUUUCCUGCUCGAGAACGCGCCGGGCGUCUGGCUGUAGAAGGUAGUAUGGAGAUUCGCCGAUAGUCAAGCAGUCUAUCAGUUUUUGACUACUGGAAUAUAAACGACUGCAACAAUGUACCGUAAAUCUAUACGGGUGCUCUUCGACUGCUUGUUGAAGUCCUUUUUGCCCCAGCCGGUAGGUCUCUAGACGUUACAGAGAACCCCGUAUAACCCAAACUGUUAACCUUCAAUACUGCUUUGUACUUACGAUCUUGUAUCCACUGACUGUCUUGUUAGAUUAACCCAAUAAAUUUCAUUCACUCCGCAUACUCAAUCCUAUAGACACCCUUUUAAUCCUUUAAUCAUAGACGUAACUCGAUUUCACAAAACAGUCAAGAGUAUUCAAACCCACUUCAUUUAAAAAUCCCGAUUCACCAUUACAACACUAACUUCAGCAGCGAUUGCCUCAGUCUUCCCAAAACUCUACGAAGAAGAAAAAUCCAAAUUCUAUGUCUUUCCUUCCCCGACCCGAAGUAUGAAGCUCCUCUCUCUAAUUCCCUUGAUCUUCAAAAAAAACCUCCAAUGAAAACCAAACUGGUAACCUUGCAGAAGCUUGAAAACUAGCUCCCCCCUCGAUUUCCCUCAAAAAAAACCCCUCUCAAAACUAUAUCCCCCCUAACCUUAUCCUCUGAAUUUCUUCAAUCUUCCGUCUUAGAUCCGGAAUUGGCUCCCACCUCAAGCUUGGAUCCGAAAUUGGCUCUCACCUCAACUUGGAUUCGAAAUUGGCUCUCGCCGCCAAGCUUUCUCCUCCGUUUUUACCUUUAAGAAAUCCAUUUACCGAAAACAACGUUCCCUGAGACGGCACAGAGAACAGGACAGCCUGAAACAGAAUCGAACCCCGUAAUCGGGACCACAUUGAGUCGCCCGACCAAUUCAGGUCCUAUAUUGGUAAAGAUGCCCGUAGUAACCUGGAUGUUCCCGUAAUUGGGUCAAAUUGGUCUUCGCGUCAGAUUGGCUAAGACCCGUAGUAAGACCUGGAUUUCCUGUAACUAGACUGCAUUGGGUUGCCCCACCAAUACAGGUCUCAUAUUGGGUAAGAGGACCCGGAUUGGAUUAUCGAAAUUGGAUUCAAUUGGCUCCUCGAAUCCGUCGUGUGAAUUGGUCCUUCUCUUCCUGCUGACUCCCGUUAUUGGAAUCGAACGGGGCAUUUCAGUAUGCCCCGGCUGACUGUAACGGAGUCACUGAACCUGACCACUCAGUAUUUGUACUGGAGUUGGUCGAUGUUCUCAAUAUUCGAGGUAACUGAAUAUUAAUAAAAUUCCCCUUUCUUUUUAUUUUCACUGUAUACUCGUGUCACAACACGACACCGUGAUACGAUUAUGAGGCAUUUGUGGCAAAUAUGUAAUGAGAUCCACAGCCAUUUACUUUCAAUGUAUUAUAAAUAGAAAAAUUGGUUACAAUAGCCUAGGAGAUGUUGCGUUGCAUGCUUUAUUAUGUUGAUAUGACUUACAAGAGCAUACAAAAGCUCAAACAUUAUAAUCCAAAUCUGUUCAAAAUCAUAUUCUUGAGAUCUAUUCUAGAGUCUUUUCUUGCCCUAGAUGUCUAAAUAUUAGAAUAUCAUAUCCUUCUUGAAGUAUGCACGUCCAAAAUAUAACAUUAUUAUAUACAUAAAUCUACUUUUUGAAAUAGAGCAAACCAAUAUUAAGACUGUAACCAUAAUAUUACAUAUUAUCCACCUUCAAUUGAUCACUAAUCAUCUUUAAAUAAGCAUCUGAAUGUAUAGCUUCCUUUCAUUUUGUCUCUUUGGUUAGAUUUAAAAUGACACUAUCAAUGGUGGCAACUUCUAUCUUGUCUACCAAUUUGUCCUUCAAAUCUAAUCUUUGUGAUAAGUUAUCUGAAAUAAUAUGUUGCCCUUGCUUAUACUCAAGCUCGAUAUCAAAUAGGUGCAACUACUUUUCUCAACAAUAAUGUCAUGAUUUCAUAUUUUUUGGAUGCAAAUUGUAUAGUACGGAUCGAUGGUCAAUCCGAAUAACCACUUGCUUCUCCAACAAAUAGUGUCACCACAUCUUUGUUGUGUGUACAAUUGAUAAUUACUCUUGAUGACGUCAAGAGUAAUUGUACUUUGCCCUUUUGAACUUACAUGAUUCAUAUACCGUAGAUUGAAGGCCCCUAUCAAAGUCUUAUUGAAGGACCACUCCAAUAGUAAAGUCAAAAGCAUCAAUGUCAAGCAUACAAAGAAGGUUGAGAUUAUAUAAUUAUAAUAUUAGAACAAUAAUGAGUACCUCCUCCAACCUAUCAAAAGAGCUUUGUUGCUCCAAUUUCUAUUCAAAUAGGGCACCCUUCUCCAAUAGGUUUGUCAAUGAAGGAGCGAUGUUUGCAAAUUACUAAACAAAAUGGCGAUAAUAUCUAGCAAGGCCUAAAAAUGAGUGGACUUCAGAUACAUCCUUGAAAGUUGGCCAAACUUCCAUCACUUUUACCUUAUUUUGCUCCAUAUGCACACCUUCGGAGGAUACUACAUGCCCAAAAAAGUGGCUUAUAACUUCCAAAGUUAACAUUUUUAUUGCUUAUAAUAGAAACAACUAUUUUAUAGCCAACAUAGCACUUUUCAUAAGUAUUACUCAUGUUCUUCAGGGAUUUUAUUAUAUAUGAGGAUAUCAUCAAUAAAGACAACUAUAUACUUGUCGAAAAGGUCCCAAAAUAAUUUGUUCAUAUGAUCUAUGAAAGAGGUUGGAGCAUUGGUGAGGCUAAAAGAUAAAACAAGCCAUUUGAAAUAUCCAUAGCAUGUACAAAAUGACAUCUUUUCUACAUCCUCUCUUGUAAUAGGUGUUUGCAAAUGGAUUCUUCAGAGAUCUAAUUCAUUAAAGAUAGUUGCACCUUGAAGUUGGUCAAGAAGAUCAUCUAUAUAUAGAAGUAGAUAUACAUUCUUAACACUCUAUUUAUUGAAGCCUCAAUAGUGAAUACAAAGGCAAAUUCUACCAUCCUUCUUGGAUGCAAAGACUUUUUGUGCUCCCCAUGGUGAUGUGCUUUCUUGAAUGAAGCCCUUCUCUAAGAGUUUUUCCAAUGUCUUUUGUAGUUCUUUGAGUUCUUUUAGUUCUAGGCAAUAAAUUAGCCAACUUGUUGGUUUGACUCUAUGCAAUAGUUCUAUUUAAAAAGAAGCACUUUAAUCAAGAAGCACGCUACUAGGUAAGUUGAUUGUAAAGACAUCUCGAUAUUCUCGUAUGAAUUGAUCUACUCAUUCUAUUCCUUCAGUUGUCUUUUCUACCAUUAAUGCAAGAUUUAGAACCACCAUAAAUAUUGGUUGCUUAUGUUAUCUUCGCUUCUUUAUAAAUGUUGUCCUACAAUUAAGUCUUUGAUUGCACAUUGUCUUUCCUCUUCACUUGAUGUGGAGGUACAAAGAGUCACCUUGCAUCCACCAUCUUUGAAGGGGAUUGUCCUUGCUAUCCAAUUCACUUAUUUAUUUUCCAUCUCUAGCCAUGGCAUACCAAAGAAAACAUCAUAUCUUAGCUUUAUCACCUUGAACCUCUCUCUUAAGCUAUAGGUGUUAGUCAACCUUAAGGUUUUUUCUUUAUAUGUCUCACUCAAUAUGUUCUCAUGGUCAUCUAUAAGGUAUAUACUUCUUCCUUUGAUUGCCUUAGUUUUAAUUUAAAGUUAGUUGAUAAUUUCAGUUAAGAUGCAAUUUUUCAUAGAGCCAUAAUCUACAAGCACUUGACAUGGUUGUCUUCUUAAUAGUCCCAUUAGAUAUACUAGUCAACACUUUUUAUAGUUGUCCAAGGCUAUGCCAUUUGUCUUUGAGAGAUAGUAGCUAUCUCAAGUAUUGGCCAUCAAUGCCUUUACUUGGAAGUUCUAUUUUCUUGCUCUAUUUCAUUAUUGACUCGCUGAAUUUUGAAGCUAUGAAUCCAUCUUCUUUUGCUGGUGCUUGAAUUUUGACAUUUUGGACAACCUCUAAUCUGAUUGUGUAGCUCCCAACAAUAGAAACACAAUUUCUUUUAUACUAAUAUUUGUCGUCUUUGUAGUGUCAAUGAUUCUUGUAGGGCAUGAAUUUCCAUUGGUGUUGGUUGUUAUGCCAUAGUAUUAAACAGCAGCAUAGGACUUUGUGCUAUAGGUUGUGCUCCACAAUUUUUGAAAUCUAUAGCAUCAACUCUCUUUGCAAUCCAAAUAGUCUCUUCAAAAGUAAAGAAGGCUUCAUUAUUCCCUCCAUAUACAUUAUUUAACUAAGAACUACGUUGUGAUAUUCUAUAGGACCUCCAAUACAUGUUGACUUUGGAAGACACAUGUCUUAACUUACAAAAUAAGUUUUCUAUAUAUGUGCGCCACAUAAUUAGCUUGUUCCACAAGUUACCAACAUGUAUAGCAUGUGAUUAACUUGUUGACCAAGUUUUUAACCUACCAAUCAAUUUCAAAUAUGUGUAAAGUCAAAUAUUGCUUCUAUGAAGCUUCUAAGAAGCCUUUCUAAAAAAUAUUAUGAAAUUGGUCUACAUUUAUUUAUUUCUACUUCAUCGUAUUGAUAACUAUUGGAAUAAAUACAUAUAUUUGUGACAUAAUAAAAAUUAUAUCAAAGAAUUAGAUAUGAUGAUUUAAAAUGAGUCUAUAUAGAUAGAUAUAUAUAUAUAUAUAUAUAUAUAUAUGUAUUAAAUUUAUUAUUUUAUUAUUUUCUUUGAUAAUUGAUAUUACCAAAUUUUAUCAAAAGUUGACUUUGAUAACAAAGACAUAUAAUUAAUAAUUAUAUGUAUAAAAAUGAACGUAUUUUAUUAGUUGAUUUCAAAACAAAUAGUUGUUCAUAAGAGAGGGUGGCUAAUAUUCUCAGAUUUUAUACUAUUUAAAUAAUAAAUCAAUUUUUAUGUUAUUUAUAUUAAUAGCUAUUAUAUUUGGAUUGAAAUUUUUAGGAUCACUACAAGAUAUAUAUUAUUAAUCCAAAUAUGUUUUAAUAUUAAAAGAAUUGUACUUUCAAGAAAAUUAAUAUAUUUUAAAAAUUAAAAAUUAUAAUUAUAUAUAAUAUGAAAGAAAUUUUCUACAUAUAUAAUACAAGUAUAAUUUGAUAGUAAUUUAUAAAUAAUUUUGAAUAAAUGACCAGUAAAGACCUUAAAUAAUUUUAGAAGAAUAACAACAUAAAAUAUUAUAACUAAUUAUAAUUGUUUGAUUACUAUAAUAUGUAAAUAGAUUAUUUAAAUAUUCAUAUUUAUAUGUUGUUGAAAUUUAAUUCAAAUACUACCUUUCAGAAAGAAAAAACAAAAAACAAAAAAAACAAAACAACGAAAAGAAAAAUGUCUUUUGAUCUACAUCCGAGAAUAAACACACAAAGUCUACAUGACAGCUAACAAUGCAUUCUUCAAAGUUAAUUUCUUCAUUUCAUAUUUUUAUCUUUUCGCAUAUUUCCUUCCUUGAAACAAACACAAUCCACACUUUCACAAGCUGCGAAGGAGAAAGUUUAAACCCUUCGCAAAACUAUUUCCCUGAAGCAAGUUUUACAUUGUAAAUUCACACUUAAUCUUAGUAUUUGGUAUUUAUUGCGGCCUGCUUCUAGAAUUCAUUUACUGAGCAAGGAAUUUGCGGUGUUUGUGUUUCGUUAGCCUUCAAGCUUAGUGCACAAGAACGAAGGCAAUUCUUCGUUAAGGCGAGAGAUUUCUGUUUAGGUCGGCGAUGGAGUGAAUCUGUUGUCGUGUUGCAGUCUGAUCCAGAAUUGGGUAUGGCAGGCACUGUGUUCUGAUUGAUGGGAGACUGUGCAAUUGAAGAUUUUGCAUUCGGGGUGACGUCGAGAAGUGGGCUCUGGGAGGAUCUGUGGUCGAAACCUCGCUUUUUCUGGUGCUUUCAAGUGUGUCCAUGGGCUCCAGAUUGUUGUGGUUGUGCCUGUGCGACGAUGGAUGGCGUCUGUGGGGUCGGGACUGUGUACCUUUCGCUCCCAGGUUCAAUAAGGGUUUAACAAGGAUGUUGCAUGUUCCUCGAUACGCCUCAUGAGGUGCAACCCAGUUUCUUAAAUCGUUGUUGAAUUUCAUGGACGGAGGUGUGAAGGCUGGAGCACUUGUCAGUUUCUCGACAGCGCUUAUGUUUAGUUCUGGAGGGUGAUCUUGUGGAGAUUGUGCGCAGCGAAUGGACGCAUAUGAGUCGUUUUGAUCAAACUGCUGAUCCGAUUGCUAAAGCGGUGUUGAUAAGGAUGGGAGCUAGGGCGUGCAUGGUACCGUUGUCGCUGCGAGGGUCUCCUUUUAGGGGAUCCGAUGGCAUGGUCACCAGCUCUUCCCUCUGCCUCUCUGUGCCGUCGUCCACACGCUCAGGUGCGUUUUCUUUGUGGUAGAGGUUGACUGUUCUAACUUGAAUUCGAUGGUUUAGUUUAAUCUUCAUGUGAUGGAGGGAUAGUAGUGCAUUGUACUAGGGUUUGGUUUUUAUUUUUGUAUUUUUUUACAGGUGAGUCAUUGUAGGAGUUGAAAAUUUGAUCGAAAUCUAGUGGCUCAUUGUGCACAAUUUUCUCUUCUUGGAGACAAGCAUUGUUGCUUCCUGAAUCGUGGAUAAAUUCCUGUAGCUUCCUUGUGGGAGACGUUGACGAUAGAGGCUAAGAAAGGAGGAAGACAACCAACCAAGACAGAAAAAGCCAAAGUACGUGAAAGGCGAAUGAGGAAGAAGGUAAGGUAACAAGGGCUUAGGAAAACUCCUAACCCAAUUUUGAAGAGACGGAAUAGUAUGACAUACAUCACUGGCACUAACCCACGAUGAAAUGGAUAAGGUUGCGGUUUUUUUCUGUUUUUAGUUUGUUCUCGUGCUCAUUUACCUCAAAACUUUAAAGUGGGUGUAAGUCUUGUCAUUACCUGGGCCUUAUAGAGCCUCAUUGUGAAUGUGUUUUGGGAUGUUGUGUGCAGCUAAACGGUACCACCGAAAAGCCUCGAUUGGCUGUCUUCCGUUCCAACGAUCACCUCUACGCUCAAGUUAUUGACGACACAAAGAAGCAAAUCCUGGUAGCAUCCUCCACUCUUAGCAGAGAGAUUCGUGAGUCCAUCGAUGGCACCGCAGACCCUACCAUGGUGAUAUCCUCUUUUCCGUUCUGGAAAGCUCUUUUGGUCCCAUUUAAUCACUGGAGUGCUUUUUUUGGUCAUUGAUCUUGUUCCAUCAAGCUUACCUACAAUGUUCAGAGUUGUAUACAUUUUCAAAUAUCAUUAUCAUGCUAGAUACUUCCUGAUGAACUAAGAAUACUCAAAGUUGUCAGCCAUAGCUCAAUAGCAAAAUUGUCUUCGCAGGAUACUGCAAAAAAGGUUGGAGAAACCAUUGGGAAGCUGUGCAUUGAGAAGGGAAUCAGUAAAGUGGCUUUUGAUAGACAAGAUUAUUUCUACAAGGGGCGUAUCAAGGCGUUUGCAGAUGCCGCACGCGAAGUUGGACUAGAAUUUUAGACGUAGUUCAAACACGUAGAAACCCAACUGUUGAGGUCCAAAGUGACGAUCUUACGUCUGGGAUUAGGUACAGCUGAUAUUGGAGUCCCGCAACAAUUCCUAUGUGACUGUCAUGACCAUCACAAUUUAAAAAUAUGGCUUGGCACCAUGGAUGCAUCGCAUGAGACUUUCCCACAAGUCUUCGAAACCUAAUUGGGUGUCUUGAACUUCGCCAGACCUACACCUAAAAAUUGUUGCUUGUUUUUAAGUUGAAAGGAGCUAUUUCAACUGACAAAAUUGAGUAUCGUAGCCUGAGCGGUAGCAAAUGUUUCCACCCUACGUACCCAUCGGCUCCAAGUUAUUUUAUACGUAAUUUGCAUCCUACUAGGUCAACUAACAGGUUAGAGGUCUUUGUCUGCUCCCCAAGUAUAGGAUGAUAAUGUGCACUAACGACAAUAUUCUUGCUAACACUGCACAAACAAAGAUUAAAUCUAUCGAUAUGAACAUUUGAUGUCGAUAUUAAAAGGCCUUCAUGGACAGCCGUUGCCAUUUUGUUAAUCAGAGGCUCUCUGAAUCAUAGAUUCCAUCAUCCUGCAUUAGUUGGUGUUCCUUAAACGCUGGAGCUCCCUUUACUGGAUUUGAAUUCAUUUGCAACAAAUUUUGUAUCCUUUAGAGAAGAGACUCUCUUGCAAAGUGGGCUUAUUGAGAUAUGUUACACCUUUCUUAAAAUUCAUAGAAAGUUUACGUUUCCUAGUUUUCUUUCCAAGGCAAUGGGGCUGCGAAAUUAAAGAAAUUUGUUUGGGACCCGGGAGUUGGAAACCAUCACUGACACACAGCUUGUAAAACGUCCUCAUCGACUACAGCUUUGGGCAACCUGAGGACGAAGUCUUUGGUGUGUCGAGGUCCUUUAAAAGAGGCUUGCCUCGCCAAAAUGACCAUGGUUUGCGGUUGAGCAUACACUUCGAAGUAAAAAACGAGCUCCUCCCACUUCUCUUGACACUCAGCUUGGCACCACAUGACGUUAGGCUUGAGUAACUAUUCCGCCCCACCAUACCGCUUUGCUGUCAAAACUCUGACGUCUCUGCAACGGGACGCAGCCCAGUACCACAUUACAUGGCUGUGCUUGCAACGCAGGCUUCCUCGGACUGUAGCUGUAAGCUUGCAAUGUCCAGCACUGCGCUUUUUCGGGUCUAAGAAAGAGUCAGAGGCGAAUCAACUACAACCAAAUCCAAUUUCUGAUUAUCUAUCAUGUGUAAGAAUGAAGAAAGUUCCAGUUAUGGCCUGACCUCGUGGCCAUGUUAUGACAAAUGUGUCCCAUCUGCAGAGAAUAUUGUACAUAUGAAAGACGCCAAUCACUCUCUCUUUUCUACACAAAGUGGUCAUUACAGCAAUUAGAGGCUGACACUGUGUUCUCCACUUGGCAAUCGAAGCAGAGUGUGAACUUCUUGUCUCACACGCUUAACUUUUACACUACAACACGAGAUCUUUUCAAGUGUGGCACAAGACGAAGAUAUGCUUGACAGCAAUUCUAGCUUGCCUGGUGGUACUUCUAUAUAUCAUGGCGUCCUCAUCUCUUGCAAACAUCAUUUUAAAGCAGUCCUCUCCAUCAGGCCUAUGAAUGCUCCACUAUAUAAAAUCAAAAGAAGAAAAUGCAGAAGCACACACCUAAUUUACUCUUGAAACAAAUCGUAAUUAAAAAUGGACAUAUUCAAGAUUUGUAAAGACAGUCAAUAACAGGUAAUAAUAUUAAAUCGUAAUUAUAACUUUAUAUUAAAUUAAGAAUAUAUGUUGAAGACUAAGUGCUACAAAUAUUUAUACUGAACAAGACCCACUGGGGCACAUGGGGAAUUUUUGGUCUCAUAUGACCUGUCGCCCACAUGCUGAUUGAUUGACUGUUUGAUACAAUUCAUAUUGAUAUUCAUGAUAUAGACUAUACCCUUGUUCAAACAAUAAGGGUAUACAGUUAUUACAUUUAACUUUAAAGACAGAGAUAUUUUUUGGAAAUCAUGUUUGCGACCUAUCUUCAAAUCUUGUGUGAAAAGUUUCUAAUCAUAGACAGCCCAAGUUCGAUCACAAAGUCACCCAUCCAGACGAAUCCUGCAACGGUCCAUCCAAAAAACCAUUCAUCUGCGACGCCGCCUGCGCAGGAGCUGUACCAAAUGUGAAGGACCAUCCCCCAGCGGCGCACAAAGCCGCAGCGGACGAGGUAGCAAUAGAAAAGCAGAUCCGAGCAUGGCAGUACAAUGUGAGAUUUCGGAGAGACGGCUUUGAGUGAGCAGUUGCCAGCACGGAGCACCCGGCACUGAGGCCGUGGCGGAGAAGGCGGUGAAAGUUCUGUGAAAAUAGACUCAAGCAGACGAGAAGUCUACUUUUGAUUUGAGAUUCAACGCCAGCUCCGAACACGUCACACAGGUGUCGAUGCUAGAGGCCGUUGAUGCUGCGACUACAAUUCACGAGUUCCUCGUUCUUGCCAUCUCCAAACCAGACGCACAGAACACGAGCAAACUCUACGGCUGGCGAUGACAGUUGAUAGGUUUACAGUAAUACGAUCAAUCCGUGGUCUGUCGGGGCUGUGGAUCAAUGCUGUGAUGACAGUCCAGAUCGAAGCAUUCCGUGAGUUGGGUCGUGAUUGCUACACCCAAAUUGAGUCCAUCGUGUCCAAUACAUGGUGUGUGUUCUGAAAACGUGAUUCGCUCCGUCUUUGCUGCAGCUUUAAAAUUCAACGGCAAUGACAUUGGACAGCGUUUCCACCAAUCGCAGCGUGUGUUUCACUACUUAUCUUGAUCUCAGUAUUUGAAACUAUGACGCUCAACUGUUCUCCACAAUCAAGCAUUGUGAUGUAUUGAAAGCAGUAGAUGUUGGGAAUCCUCUACCCACUUUUGCCUGCCUCUACUCAGAGGGGUCUCUUAUACUACUCAUAUCCAUCUUACAAACAGAAAAGCAUGCUCAUACUGGUGCCAUCUUAGUCAGCUCGUGAUUGGCCAGCUCGGGAAGACAGAAUGAUACCCACGAUAAGUCCGUAUAAAGCCAGCGCCUCGGCGAAAAUCAGAAUCAGGAUCAUUCCUACAAACAGCUUGGGCUGUUGCGCAUUGGCCCUGCACAAAACCCCAUCCUCCAAGUUAACAAGGACAUGAUCAACAAAUGGCAUCAACUCAGCAUCCUCAGAUAUCACGUGCAUGAACGUAAAGCCUCUACGAAUUGAAUCCAGAUUGGCAGACUAUUGACUCCAACUUCAAAACGUAUUUUGGUACAUCGCCACAUUGCAAGGCUUUGUCAAGUACCUAACACCAGCAUCUCCGACGAUACCAAUGGCCAUGCCUGCCGAUAGACCAGCCAACCCACACGACAAUCCAGAUGAAAGGUGCGCGUAGCCGUCGAACACGUAGUAGGGCUUCGACUUUGGGUUGAUUCCGGUACUGAUAAUCACGGCGAUAAUCAGCCCGUAGAUACCCAACACUCCAGCCAUGACCACAGGCACGAUCGACUUCAUCACCAGCUCGGGCCGCAUCACACCCAUGGAUGCCACUCCCACUCCACUCUUGGCUGUCCCAUAAGCAGCGCCCAUGCCUGACGCAAUAACAUUCAACAUUUAGUUCAUGUCCAGGAGUUUCGAAGUCGCACCCUAGCUGAGGAAAUUGAAGCUUAAGUGCCCAACACCGUUCACGGGGAAACGCUUGGCGUAAUUUUUCUUUAUCUUCCACCUACAUACGCAACCCUCUUUCGGCAAAUUCAUACCGUUUUGGCUGAUUUAUCAUAAAAUGCCCCACUCAUAUCGUGCAAGAUGCAUCCAUCAGGCACCCAAUUAACGGCUAGUUAUCUCACUAGCAGGAAUCAUGAAAUUAUCAUUACUCAAUUCGAAAGGGCACAUACUGCUUGUAUUGGAAAAAUGAGGAUAACCCUGAACUGAAAAUUUCUACAAUAUAACAUAAGAGACGAAUAAACAAGGCAUCGCGCUAGCAAAUUUCAACCCUUCCAACAGAGUCGGCACGCGUUUCCGCAGCAAACUCUUUCUACUACCUCACCCAACAUCAAAGAAGAAAGCACUACCCCAGACCAAGCAUAAUUAAAUAAUCAUCUAACAACACAAGGCAUGCGCAUCUCACCGACACAUACGCGUACACAGACCAAUCCAUCACCCCCGCGCCCACCCAGAAAUCAUUUGAUCACAUCAAAUCCUAAUGAAAAAUCUCUACAAACUGUACUCAAAACACUGGUAGCAAUCCACAAAGCUGAAAUCAAUAGGGGUUCUCAAUACCCUAAAGAUAGCUUAUUGUGUGUCUCUUGUAGAUUAGAGACUACUUACGACCAUGUCUAACCAGACCCCAAUGAAGAGAAACCCAAUAGUAAAAGAAACAAUUCUGAGCUAGAUCGCUGGCGGGUGAGUCCAUACAUGAAAAGACGAGAGCAGCUGCAGCUCCAAUGAAGCCGAAGAAGGGGGCGACCUCAUCUCCGUUGAACACAGCAGAGGUCGACAUGGCGCCGGUAUUAAUUCAGGACGUAAACGAAACAGGAAAAACAACUGGGGAUCGAGAGAAGUGAAGUAGACUGAAAGUGAAAGCUGUGUCCUGGGAAGAACGGAUCUAAGCCAGCAGGAUCGAGUGAAGAAGUAAGGAGUAAGGGAGGGAACAAAGUGAAUAUGGAAGAAGAACCAACUCCGCGACGCUCACGCUGGAUGCAAGAUGUAAGGAAGGCGAUAGCUACGUAAACCGCUAGCUGUCUGUCUGCUUUAGGUUUCUGGGUGCAUGAGAAGUUACUCCACCGAGCAGCGUUUUUCCCCUCUAGUUAUUGAUAUUGUUACUUUUCCACUAUUCAAACGGUCGAUUUGGGGCAAUAACACUGGAAACAACAGUAGCUUUGCGUGAAAGGUGGAUGCAUGUUUGAUUAACUCCAUAUUAUACUUGACUGUCUGCACACUCUAAUCACUCAAAUCACUCAAAUCACUCAAAUAGCACUCUCAACAGUAGCUGAAAUGCACUUAGAAACGUGGAAAACAAGUGAAAAUAGCUAAGAUGCAUACAUCAUUUAUACAAUGCAAGCCAUAAAAACCUGAGAAAGAUUGGCACAAAACAAAUACGCAACAUCAGGCCAAGUCAAGCUUUACAUGAAAAAGAUCCAGUUAUAAGAAAAUUUGCUAUUCACAGCCAAGAGUGACGGAAAUAAGUUGCUUCCCACUAGCUACAUUUUAGCAUCAGCAUAUACACCCUUGUCCACCCACGUGCCAUGACUGCGGCUUACAACGGGUGCAAUAGAUGUGGCAGCACCGACUACAUCCUUCCAGAGCGUGUGCAACAUGGAAUCUACAAGGGCGUGUUGUUGAUGAAGGACUGGAACAAGUGUAGAGCACGAGCUGGUUGUGUGUAUGGCACCAUAUGCCCAGCACCUCUAACAGUGGAAAAUGUAAGCUUAUCGUACUUUGUGACAUAGCCUCCAACCUACAGACGGGAAAGCCAUGAAGAAUAAGAUUGCCUCCUCGAGGUGUAAUGCUAUGUGUACUGAACCAUUUAGUCAAGGUGUGAUUCAUUACAGACGAACAGCAGAGCUUCAAAAGGUAUAAUUUUUAUGUGUCAUAAUGAUGACCCCAAAGCAUCCAGAACAAGGCGAAUAUUGGCAGCAUAGCACAUUACAAGUAGACUGAUCCAGUGCCCAUAGAUCUGCACAAUACUCUAAGUUAUGAACCACGAUAAACGUACCAUUCCAGGAAAAGAGAUUCAUACCUGAUUAUCGACAGUCCAUGGUCUCCAAGCCUCGGUGAUGUUCAGUGGCAACAAGUUAAGCCAAGUGCGGGUGCCAGUCACAGGAACAAUAGCAUCCACAUCGCCACUGGGUACAAGAGAGCCAUGACAUAAGGGAUCCGCACAUGAACACCAUUCACAUGAAAGAGAGGUGUUUCUGUCCACAAACUUAGACAGUGACUGAGAAUCGCCACUCAAACUUUGUUCACAAUGCCACAAAGGAAUGAGAAAUACGUACCUGAAUACCAAUAUUUUAAUAUUGGACUCCAGUAGAUUGUGAUAAACAGGAAGGACGCUUGACAGAAGGUCGUCGAACGAAUAGUCCACAAUCUCACUGCGACGACAGAACACAGUGCCGUCAAUAAACCCUCAUUCGGAAUCCGAAAUCGACCUAGAUUUCCAUUUCCAGGCAAAUCAUAACAAACCUUGUAACAGAAAAAAGCAAAACAAAUGGCACCGAAAGUAACCUGCAGUCAGUCCAUCGCCAUGGCAGAUGAGUAGUGUUGGCAUGCAAGGCUUCCUGCACCUCUGGCCUGUUCAAGUAAACCUCCACCUGCAACGCUAAUAACUCAUUGAUAAGAGCACACUCAUAUUGUGCAACGAAACCUAAACGAGACCCUAACAAUGAUGGCCCGAUUCAAGUGAAAUUUAGAGAUUGCAGGAUCAGGCGCUUUACCAGACGUAAUGGAAACAAUGAAAUUCAUCCAACGAAUAACGAGACCAAUUAAUAUGGCUUUGUUCCCGGCCAACACAUAAUGACAGCAUUAGCUCAACAUCCUAACGCACAAUGAUCUUUUGUCAUGAACUAGACGGAUGAUGUUGAAGACCAACAGAAGAAUACUUACCUCAUCAUCAACACAUGGAUCGUAUGAGUCCUUCAUCAGAGGUCGAGUGGAGAGUCCACCGAAUCGGGUGCGGCUUAACUACCGACCAAUCAACAAGUUUUGUCAGUUCAAAACAUGCUAGAACAAAUAUCGUUCAGAUUCACAGUUUCCUUCCAUUGGGACAGGAAAUCAGAAAGUGAGAAGGAGUCGUCAAAUCAAUCGACUCAGCACAUAGCUUAGUCCAACGUGGUUACAACUUCAGUGUACAACACGACAGCAUGUCACAACAUACCAGCCUGUAAAUACGUUACCUGCUUGCCAAAAUGACGAGUUUCAGCCUGAGCUUGGGCAGAUACACAAAUGUCUGCGUAGAUUUCAUAUAUGUUGAUGUUACCCUGUACUAGACAAACAUUUUCAUGAGACUUCUCCCUAAUACGUAAUACAUAUGGAAGCGUUACUGAAAAUGAUUCUGUCCAAUUAGGGAAAACAACAUAUAGUUGACAUCCACACAAGCUUCAAUAGUUCCAGCUUCCAGACACACCUAGGAGUAAGUGGGAGGGGCAAGUUUUCAAAAGAAUAAUCAUCCAUGGUAGGUAGUUUCAGUAACUUGCCAGUUCAUUGUUCGCAAUAUCCACAUAUUUGUCGCAUAGAUCAUCUGCCUCACUUCGAAGCGGUCCAACAGAUGAAAAAUUGCACUACAAACACAAGGUAAUUUGUAUCAGAGAAGAAUAAUAAGGAAGUUGGUGUAACAAAAGCAGGCAAAGAGGGAGUUGACACUCACGUUUUUCACGACUCCUUUGAAGGUGGAAUCAGAAACAAGAGCAUGAGUCCACCAGAAAAAUAUAGCUCCAAAGUUGUCUACAUUGGCGUCAGUCCAUGCAUUUCCAACCUGUAAUGAAUUUUUUUUAAUUAGCCAAAUAACACGGUUCUAGUAUGAUGAAAAGAUGGAGUAUGUGUAGGUCACAUGCCACACUUGUGAAAUAUCAGAGCCUACUAUCGUAGAAGUUGAUAUCGAGGUACUGAUGACAGACGAGAAGAUGGAAGAAACAUACAAGCAUUCCUUGCAGAUUUAUCUUCUUGUUCGAACCAACUUUGUUACCCUCCAGGAUGGUAUCCGCUAGCUGGGGGACAUAAUGACCUGCACAACCCAAAUUUUUCAGCAAAAAGUUACAAAAAUCUAAAUCGGCGAAUUAUGAAAUAUACAACACGACCUUCAAUCAAUCAUAUCAGAGUGCGGUUUAAAAGAUGCUGGGAAGAAUUCUGUGCAACUAAGAUGUUUCAUCAGUCAUUCAGAGCCCGAGAGAUAGAAACCAACAUACAUCACGGAUGUAAAUACUUUGUUCUUCUCACGAUAUUCAACUUUACCUGAAAAUGGAUGUUUACAAAGCGUUAUUACCUGCAUAGCUUUCUCCGGAAAUAUAGAACUUGCUUGAUGAGUAUAGAGGAUAUUGCUCAAAGAAACGGAGCAGAAAAGCAUAAGAAUCUUGAGCUGAAACACCAAAAGGGACACAAAAAGCAACGGCAAUAGGCACAAGUAAGAGCCCACAUAAAAAUGGACACGAUUGGACUGAGAACUCGACUUGGCCAGCAUAGGCUUAAACAGCUAAAGUAGAAUCCUAAAUAAAUCAUACAUAUACGACCACAGCAUGGUAAUCAAUGCCUUUUCACACAACAGGGUAAUGACAGCGACCAAAUGCGCCAUCUAUCAUGCUGUAUCGCGUGUCUAAGCCACAGGCAGAUUUGUGGAGGCAUUCUUCAAAGAAGAGUAGGAAGAUUAAAUAGAAGGAUCUAAAACUUCAAACAAGUGAAGAGAAGAGAAUAGGCAAAGAGCACAAAAAUCUAACCAGUCCGCUUAUCACCAGUCUUGUAAUCAGUCGUCGUGUUUGAGUAAGAAAAUCCCACUCCAGCUGGAGAUUCAAGAAAAAGCAUGUUGGAAACUGCGCAGAAACCCAAGAAUGAGAUGUCAGCAAUAACAGCUGGUUAAACACCCCGUGAAACAAAGAACACUGACCGAACAAAGAGUCACCGAAGGGGAAAAAUCUGAUAACUCAACCUACCACACUUUUUCCAGCUGUGACUAGGUAGCAAACUCUUAGAUAUGACAGUUAAUACCGGUUUUAUGACAAAAAUACUAACAGCGAUCCAUCAUGCUACCUAAGAAGAAACAAAAACCAGCCUCAGACACUGGCAGUAGGAAUAAUUAGUUUCACUACCUUUAUUCCAUGCAUGUGCAUUCGGUAGCAAAUGAGCCCCAUCACGAGUCGGAUAAAAGGGUCCGAGCUCACUCAGCAUUCCUCCGCCAACCGAGGAGCAUCCAGGACCUGCACGAUAGUCAACAUUUCCGAUCAGUAUCCUUUGUUCUGUUCAAUAAAGGGAGCCCAUCAAUCACGGGAACCUCAGCGUACAAUAUUUAACGUGGUUUCAGCAAUUUCAGGGAUAGCUGCACAACAAUAUUUUCUGUUGAUUGUAACCCAUGCCCUGCACCUCAAAGCGCGGGGAAAGUUCACACUUACAGCACAAUUCACAACUACGAAACAAACCUGAGGUUCAAAAUCAACCCGCCCCACCUCCAUUAAGCCACAAGGUGAGCGGAGCCGAGGCAGGGUCCUGAACAUCCGCUUCCACGAACCAGAAAAACAGGGCACGUCCGGCCUUCUCGUCCACGGUGAUGUACCCCGACCGCAUGGAGAAGGGAAAUUUGGGCGCUCCGGGCAGGCUUACGAUCAGAUGUGGGUCUGCAAUUGACUUCCUCCCAACAUCUUCUCCUCCGCCAUUCCCCCUCUCAGUCGCCAGACGGAUCAAAUUCGAUCGAAGCCCAUCCACCCCCACCGACAAAACAGCACUCACAAUCAUGAAACACACCCAGACACUCCCAAAAUUUCUGCUCAAUUUCGCCAUUGCAAUAGACCGCGAGAAACCCAAAUUGGUGGAGAGCACGACCGACACCACUACAGAAGGAGCUGGCUGCGACGUUAUUGUUGCUGGCCAUUCAAGCAAAGCUUCGGCAACGUCCUUGAGGGCGGCAAGACGCCCCCGCCAGAUUCAGUCGCGCCCAUAGGGCCCGCUAUCGCACCCGGGUGUCUACCGUGCACCCUCGGGGUAUAUAUCGCGGUCGUGGGUUCCCCAUCGGUCUCCGCGCCUUCGUCAACGGUCUCCUAUCCACCAUGGCGUGUGUGCAGUCAUAAGUUCAUUCCAAUUCAUAUGGAUCAAUUAAAGUUUUAAGUGAAGCGGGUCUUGAGGACUUGCUCUUCAUGAAUAUUGUGAUCAAAUUUGGCACUUUCUUUAUGAUAUGUAGUUCCCUUGUUCUCAUACAUACUGCCAUUAUCCUAAAUUUGUAAGAUUUGUUGGUUGUGAUUAAUAAGCACACAAAUACUUAUUAAAACUUUAAAAAAUAUACACAUAUUUUUAUAUUUAUUUUAUCAUCGAAUAUGGCGUUUAUAUUUCAUAUAAAAAAUUCAAGGCUAUAAUUAUUUUCCUUCAAAUUUAUAUAUACAUACAUGCAUACCAUGGUAUAAAGGUGACAAGGAUAUGAAUUUCAAAGAACAAAAACUCAAUACACUCUUGUAUCACUCAAAAAGAUUAAAAAGUCACUCAAAAUUGGUAGUAUAUUGAACUUGAAUGGCUAUUACCAAAGACAAGAAGACUUAAGAGUCUUGAAACAAAACUAACAACUGAAAAGGCAUUAAUAAGAGUGAAGAAGGCUUCACUCUUGCCUCCAUAUAUACUAUCUAACUAGAAGCUAUGUUGUAAUAUUUUAUAGGACCUCUAACACAUGUUGACUUUGCAAGACAUAUAUCUUAUUUUACAAGGGAAGUUUUUUAUAUGUGUUUCACAUAAUUAGCUUCUUCCAUAAGCUACCAACAUAUGUGAUACAUGAUUAAUUUGUUGACUAAGUUUCAAAUCAAUUAAUCAACUACAAACAUGUUUAAAGUCAAUUAUGUCUAUAAAACUUUUAGAAAGCUUUUCUAUAACAUAUUAUAAAGUUAAUUUAUUUUUAUUUAUUUCUACCUAAUUAUAUAGAUAAUUAUUAGAAUAAAUUUGUAUGUCCAUGAUAUUACUCCCCCUUCUAAAAACAAGUUCUAUGAUGAGCAAUCAUCAUUAUUCAUGGAUCUUAUAAUUCUUCAUCUUCAUCUUAAUAAAUGCCAUCAAUGAAAAGCUUCAACCUUCUUUGCAAUAUUUGCGAGUUUCUUUACUAACUUUCAUAUACAUUCACUAAUAUCAUAUUUGCACCAAUGAACAAGAUAUUCCAAUAUAUUUUGACAUCGCCUUGAAUCUAAGACUUCUUCUAUCUCAAACUUUAGAUUAUUAUCUACUUCUAAAGCAAGAGAUGGCAUUUGUCUUCUUCCUAAGAUAUUUAUUGUCUUAUAUGGAUAAGAAGAAAUACAUUGUCAUAUAGUGUGAUUUUCUAUCUAGAAAUAUAUUAGAUAUGAGUUACAGAGCGUUUAGCUUAAAUUUAUUGAAUAAGUUCUAAUAAAAAACAUAUUCUUAUUAUAGACAUCAAAUAAAUAUAAUAGUAUUAAAAGAUAUAUUAUUGAUAAAAUUCUUUGAUAUUUAAGAAGCUUUAUACAUAAGGCUUUCUAAAGCAUCUAGAAUGCUCUAAAAUCCUUUGUUAUAUCAAGUCAUAAUUAAAUUAUUGGUCAGUAAGCUUGAUUUCCAAUAAGCUCAAAAAAAAUCCUUAAUCCUCUUAUAAAAAUCUAUCUUUAUAUCAUAAUUUUGCCAUAGCUCUAUAUCCCCACUUUUAAUAUAUAUAUAUAAAAUAUAUAUAAUAUAUAUAUAUAUAUAUAUAUAUUAGAUAUAUAUAUAUAUAUAUAUAUAUAUCUCAAAAUCUCCUCUAUUUUUCAUAAAAUGUCCAAAUUAUUGCAAAAUCCUUUCAAAAUUUUUUUUUUCUAUAUAUGAUUUUUUCUCUCCAAACUUUAGAAAUUCUUAUCUCUUGAUUCAAUUAUUCUAUUUUUUUCAAAUUUCUAGAUAAUAUAGAAUUUAUUCUUAAGCUUUAUCAUAAAAUAAAUGAACCAUAAAUCUUUAAUAGAUAGUUUAGCAACUUAGAAAUCCUAGUAGAUGUUUUAAAUCCUAAUUUAUAAACAUCUAAGUGGUAUUUUUUUAUAUUUCAAAAAUAAAAGAUUUAAAUGCCUAAAAUUUUUAUAUAAAGUAUAGUGACACAAUAAUAUAUAUUUUUAGAAAUAUUUAGCCAAAAUCUUAUCAAAUUACUUAAGAUAUAGCUCGAAAUACAACCACUAGUAAAUUGGGUCAUUUAUUGCCCUUAGAUUGCAAGCACUGACUUCAACUUCCUAUAACUCCUUCACUUCAACUUAGAAUUUUUUUAAAAAUAUAUAAAAAGUAUAGCUAAAAAAGUGCUCUCUUCAAUAUUAAUUUUCGAUCCUUCAUUGCUUUCCAAACAUGCAUGUUAUAUUCAAAAGAGUGAUAGUAGAUACAAAAUCAACUUCUUAAUUUUGAGUGCCUAUAUCUCUUUCAUAAAAACUCCAAUUCAUACAAAAUUUGUAUAAAAACUAUAGCCAAAAUCCUAAAUUUUUUUAUUCUUGCCUCUUAAAUUCAAAUUCCCUUAAAAAAGUAUCCUUAAUUUCUAAUAAGGCCUCAGGCAGCUUCCUUGAAGUCCAUUGGACAUGCCUUUUGGCCAUUAGCAAUGGAGAUUUUUAUCAUCCAUCUCCAUUCAUCCAUAUGGAUACCCUAACUAUCUCUUUGGCUACCAAAAUUCUUUUGUAAUUCUUUUUUUAGAAGAUCUACAUAAUAUAUGGCCUAACAUCAAAUAAAAGAAAUAAUACAAAAUUUCAAGAGUCACCAAUGUGUAAUAAAGGUGGUUCUAAAUAUAUAAAACUAUUAUCAAUAUAAAAUCAAUUUUAAUAAUAGCUUUUAAAACUAAAUACUUCAAAGUAGUAAUCUAAUCAUAUUAUGUAAUUAACAAAAAUCUAAUAAUAUAGCUUUUAUUAUAUUAUAUAAUAAAUUUUAUAUUAAUUAUAUAUAUAUAUAUAUAUAUAUAUAUAUAUAUAUAUACAUUAUUUUUACAUGGUAGCCAAACCACAAUAUGAUAAUGUGGAAUACAGAAUGGAACUUUAUAGAUUCUAGUAGAUAAAAUUGAUAAAAAACAUGAUUGACUUAUUCAUAAAUAGAAAAAAAUCUAAACUUAUAAUAGUCCAACUUGUCACAAGGAUGAGUAGUCUUGAUAUUGCAACAAAAUAAUCAUAUCUUAUCAUCUCCAUUGAAUUGUGUUUAUUUUUUUAUAAUAGGCAUAUGCAUUGAUCUUUUAUUUUUCUUAAUUAAACUUUAUUUAAUUACACCUUCAUCAUUGCAUGUAGCUCUAAUAAUCAAUUUGUCAAAUUUUUUGUAAUAAGAUUAUCAACUUUUAAAAAGUCAAAAGUAUUAAGCCAUAGAUGAUAACCAUAAUUGAUAAAAAAAUAUAUAUAUAUAUAUUUGUUAAAUAAAAGAAUGUACCAAAUAUUAUAUACAAAUUCUAUCAAUAGUAAAAGAAUUAUUUAAUUAUCUUAAUGAUAAUUCAUGGUAUACAUCUGCAAAGUUCCAUGUCUUUUCUUUACAAAUAAAAUAAGAGCCAUCAUUAAAAAAUUUGAAUAACAUAUGAAGUUUUUAACCAAGUUCUUAUCAAUGUACUCUUUUAAUCCAAAUAAUUCAUUUUUUGAUAAGUUGUAGAUUGGUCUAAAUGAUGGUUGAGCUUUUUCUUACAAAUUAUGUUGAACAAUCAUAUGAUCAAUAUAUUGGAAUAAUAUUUGUAUUUUUUAAAAAAAUAACUUAAAAAUCUUAAUAUUGGCUAUGAAUACUACUUAAUUUUUUUUCACCAUUACAAAUGAAUAUGGCAUAUAUAGCCAAAAAUGAUUCUUUUUUUAUUACAUGUAUGAAAUUUUUUGUAUAUACCAAUAAAGAUUUGGAUGUAUUAAACUUAUGUACUUGUCAAGGAUAUGAAUCUCAAAGAACAAAAAUGUCAAUACACUUUGGUGACACUCAAAAAGACUAAAACAUUAUUAAAGAUGAUAUAGUAUUAAACAAAAAUGGCUAUUGCCAAAUACAAGAAGAUUAGAAAGUCUUGAAGCUAGACUAAUGACUAGAAAGGCAUUAACAAGAGUAAAGAAGGCUUUACUCUUGCUUCUACGUAUACUCUUAAUUAAGAGUUACAUGGCAAUGUCCUAUAGGACCUCCAAAACAUAUCGAUUUUGCAACACAUAUCUUAACUUACAAGGUAAUUUUUUUGUAUGUAUGCCACAUAGUUAGCUUGUUUUACAAACUACCAAUAUGUGGUUAACUUGUUGACUAAGUUUUUAACCUACCAAUUAACUAUAAAUACAUAUAAAAUUAAAUCAACAUCUAUAAAGCUUCUAAGAAGCUAUUUUAAAAAAUAUAUUGAAAUAAAUUUAGUUUUAUUUAUUUCUAUUUAAUCAUAUAAGUAAAUAUUAGAAUAAGUAUGCAUGUCCAUGACAUUGUUUUUCCUUCUAAGGACAAGUUUCAUGAGAGGUGGUCAUCACAUCUUGAGAAAAUCCAAGAUGUAGUGAAUUUUGUUUGCUACAUACUCUAAUCUUUCUUUAUUUUGAACAUAGUUAAUAGAUCCUCUUAGCCAUGAAUAAUAUUUUAUACUAUAGCAAAAAGAUCGCUAUAUUAUUUAAUUAUUAUUCACGCCUUUGUAACUUCUUUCAAAUAAAAUAUUUUGAACACUAUCAAGAAUUAUUCAACUACUAGUAAAAUCACCAAAAAUCAGGAUUUUCUUCUAAUAUUGUAUUAUCAAAUAUGUUAUAUUUUGCCAUCUAUUUGAAAAAAGAUGUGUCAUUUUUGAGGAUCUUUAUUUCAAUUAUGUUAUCUUAAAUGUGUGAUAAUUAUAAUAUUUUGUCUAAUGAAUCAACAAAUAAAAGCUCUUGAGUUGAACCUAUUGGUUGUUGGUUUUUCAUAUCCUUAGGAUCACAGAUGCACAAAAGUACUAAACAAGAAUAGAAGAUAGAAUGAUAUCUUUCUUGGAUCUUGUUUCUUUUAUAGCAAAGAUUUGUUAUUCUUCAUCUUGGUUUUGAUGAAUGUCGUCAAUGAAAAGCUUUAGUUCUCUUUGCUAUAUUUGUAAGAUUCUUUACUAAUUCCCAUGUAAAUUUAUUAAUAUCAUAUUAUGCCAAUGAAUAAGAUUUUUUAACCUAUUUUGGCAGUGCCUUAAAUCAAGACUUUUAUUACCUCAAAUUCUUCAUUAUUAUCCACUUUUAUAAGAAGAAGUAGCAUUUUUCUUCUUCUCGACAUAUUCAUUGUCUUAUACAACUUAAGAAGAAUAUGAAAUAUGAAAUGGAUCUUCAUAGAUUCUAGUAGAUGUAAUCAAUAAGCAAUUAGAUUCACUUGUUUACAAAUAAGAAAAGGCCUAAGCCUAUGAUAGUCUAAAUUGUCACAAGGACGAGUAGUCUUGAUAUUAUGACCGAAUAACUUUAUUUUGGAAUUCAUGUUAAAUUAUAGUUGUUCUUUGAGAUAGGCAUUUGCAUUAAUUUUUUAUCAUUUUUAUGCUAUCAUGUUGUAACACGACUAUAUGAUGAAAGAUAAUAAUAUGGAUCUUAUUAUUCAAGAGCCAAGUUAAAAGAUAUGGUAAAAAAAUAUGGAUAAAAGAUAGAAAGGUAGUAAAUUUUUUAAUAGUAAUGCUAUUUUUUAAAAAAAAAUAGCUUCUAUUUACUUUAUAGGACCAAAAAUAAGGCAAAAUGAAGUAGAUUGGAAACAUAAAUAAUAUAGACAUCUUUAAGAAGAAUUUAAGAGUAAAUUCUAGCAAAAAUAAUCUAAAAAAAUUAGAUAUUGAUACCCAAGGAGGGCCAGUUAGGAACCUGGGUCGAAAUCAGGCUCUAAGGCACAAAAUCGAACACCUAUGGUAACUUAGGGUUUUUUUGUAGAUUGGAUAGUAGAAUUCGAUAGCAAACUAGGUAAGAUUUCUAUGAGCAUUAGUUUUGGAUAAUUUAGAUUUGUAAUGACUUUAUAAGAGCUUUACAAAGUCAAGUUUGUUUUUGGAUGACUUGGAUUUUAUGAAAUACAAUAGGGUUGACGUUGUCGUAGUACAAGAAGUCUUCCUUGAGAAUACUUCGAACACCUGGCUAUAGAAGGUAGAAUGGAAAUUGCAACAACAAAAUUCUAAUUCUAAUAGAAUACUAAAUAAACUCUAAUUAGACCAUAAUAAUGCUAAGUAAGUUUUAAUCAAAUUCAAAUAAACCUAAAAGAAAUUUCAAAGAAACAAUAAGAAAUCUUAAAGAAAUAUUAGAAUGAUCACAAAUAUAUGUCAAAUACAUCUCAAUUCAAUCUUAAUUUAAUCCUAGUUAAAAUCAUAUUAGACUUCAUUGAAACUUUAGGCCAAAAUUAAUUAAAUCGUAAACCCUAAACAAGCCCUAAUAAAAUCCUAAACCCUAAAUAAAAUCCUAAAUCAAAUCUUAAAUCCUAAAUUAAACUCUAACUAAAUCUUAAAUCCUAAACCAAUCCCUAAAUCCUAAACUAAUCUCUAAAUCCUAAAUCCUAAAUCAAAUCCUAACUAAACCUUAAAUCCUAAAUUAAACUCUAAAUCCUAAACCAAAUCCUAAAUCCUAAACCAAAUCCUAACCAAAUCC
rnacentral:lncRNA from 1 species